rnacentral:rRNA from 1 species
GCUUGUCUCAAAGAUUAAGCCAUGCAUGUCUAAGUAUAAGCAACUUUGUACUGUGAAACUGCGAACGGCUCAUUAAAUCAGUUAUAGUUUAUUUGAUGGUUUUUGCUACAUGGAUAACUGUGGUAAUUCUAGAGCUAAUACAUGCAUUCAAGCCCCGACUUCUGGAAGGGGUGUAUUUAUUAGAUAAAAAUCAACUUUGUUGGUGAAUCAUAAUAACUUCUCGGACCGCAUGGCCUCGUGCUGGCGGUGCUUCAUUCAAAUAUCUGCCCUAUCAACUGUCGAUGGUAGGAUAGAGGCCUACCAUGGUUGCAACGGGUAACGGGGAAUAAGGGUUCGAUUCCGGAGAGGGAGCCUGAGAAACGGCUACCACAUCCAAGGAAGGCAGCAGGC